CUACAAUGGAUAGUACAAAGGGUCGCGAAGCCGCGAGGUGGAGCUAAUCCCAUAAAACUAUUCUCAGUUCGGAUUGUAGGCUGCAACUCGCCUACAUGAAGCCGGAAUCGCUAGUAAUCGUGGAUCAGCAUGCCACGGUGAAUACGUUCCCGGGCCUUGUACACACCGCCCGUCACACCACGAGAGUUUGUAACACCCGAAGUCGGUAGGGUAACCUUUAUGGAGCCAGCCGCCGAAGGUGGGACAGAUAAUUGGGGUGAAGUCGUAACAAGGUAGCCGUAUCGGAAGGUGCGGCUGGAUCACCUCCUUU
rnacentral:rRNA from 1 species